rnacentral:rRNA from 1 species
UACGUAGGGGGCAAGCGUUAUCCGGAUUUACUGGGUGUAAAGGGAGCGUAGACGGUGAUGUAAGUCAGAUGUGAAAGCCCGGGGCUCAACCCCGGGACUGCAUUUGAAACUAUGUUGCUAGAGUGCAGGAGAGGUAAGUGGAAUUCCUAGUGUAGCGGUGAAAUGCGUAGAUAUUAGGAGGAACACCAGUGGCGAAGGCGGCUUACUGGACUGUAACUGACGUUGAGGCUCGAAAGCGUGGGGAGCAAAC